rnacentral:rRNA from 1 species
AAUUUGAGAGUUUGAUCCUGGCUCAGAAUGAACGCUGGCGGCAGGCCUAACACAUGCAAGUCGAACGGAGUUAUAUUGUAGCUUGCUAUGGUAUAACUUAGUGGCAGACGGGUGAGUAAUGUAUAGGAAUCUACCUAGUAGUACGGAAUAAUUGUUGGAAACGACAACUAAUACCGUAUACGCCCUACGGGGAAAAAUUUAUUGCUAUUAGAUGAGCCUAUAUUAGAUUAGCUAGUUGGUGGGGUAAUAGCCUACCAAGGUAAUGAUCUAUAGCUGAUCUGAGAGGAUGAUCAGCCACACUGGAACUGAGAUACGGUCCAGACUCCUACGGGAGGCAGCAGUGGGGAAUAUUGGACAAUGGGCGAAAGCCUGAUCCAGCCAUGCCGCAUGAGUGAAGAAGGCCUUUGGGUUGUAAAGCUCUUUUAGUGAGGAAGAUAAUGACGGUACUCACAGAAGAAGUCCUGGCUAACUCCGUGCCAGCAGCCGCGGUAAUACGGAGAGGGCUAGCGUUAUUCGGAAUUAUUGGGCGUAAAGGGCGCGUAGGCUGGUUAAUAAGUUAAAAGUGAAAUCCCGAGGCUUAACCUUGGAAUUGCUUUUAAAACUAUUAAUCUAGAGAUUGAAAGAGGAUAGAGGAAUUCCUGAUGUAGAGGUAAAAUUCGUAAAUAUUAGGAGGAACACCAGUGGCGAAGGGUCUAUCUGGUUCAAAUCUGACGCUGAAGCCGAAGGCGUGGGGAGCAAACAGGAUUAGAUACCCUGGUAGUCCACGCUGUAAACGAUGAAUGUUAAAUAUGGGGAGUUUACUUUCUGUAUUACAGCUAACGCGUUAAACAUUCCGCCUGGGGACUACGGUCGCAAGAUUAAAACUCAAAGGAAUUGACGGGGACCCGCACAAGCGGAGCAUGUGGUUUAAUUCGAUGCAACGCGAAAAACCUUACCACUUCUUGACAUGAAAAUCAUACCUAUUCGAAGGGAUAGGGUCGGUUCGGCCGGAUUUUACACAAGUGUUGCAUGGCUGUCGUCAGCUCGUGUCGUGAGAUGUUGGGUUAAGUCCCGCAACGAGCGCAACCCUCAUCCUUAGUUGCCAUCAGGUAAUGCUGAGUACUUUAAGGAAACUGCCAGUGAUAAGCUGGAGGAAGGUGGGGAUGAUGUCAAGUCAUCAUGGCCUUUAUGGAGUGGGCUACACACGUGCUACAAUGGUGUCUACAAUGGGCUGCAAGGUGCGCAAGCCUAAGCUAAUCCCUAAAAGACAUCUCAGUUCGGAUUGUACUCUGCAACUCGAGUACAUGAAGUUGGAAUCGCUAGUAAUCGUGGAUCAGCAUGCCACGGUGAAUACGUUCUCGGGUCUUGUACACACUGCCCGUCACGCCAUGGGAAUUGGUUUCACUCGAAGCUAAUGGCCUAACCGCAAGGAAGGAGUUAUUUAAAGUGGGAUCAGUGACUGGGGUGAAGUCGUAACAAGGUAGCAGUAGGGGAAUCUGCAGCUGGAUUACCUCCUUAGGCUUUGUACGUAAUUCACCAUUUCAAAUAAUAGUGUCAUUAUGUACUAUACUGCUGUCUUUACUUCUACUUUAUUUUUUAAUUUCUCGAUAACGA